UUUUGUUUCCUGCUCGGCUCCAGCAACUCGUUUCACUUUGACAGCGACAGUUUGGAUCACUGUGUCGGAGUCUGGGGUCUUUAUCUGUGAGUGGAGGAACUCAUUGAUCAACAGUACAGGAUCUGCAGUCUGGAGAUGAUGUUCAGAGUAGGCAGAUGAAGAAACACAUCACAGAGAAGCUCUGAACUUAAAAUCCUCGAAGAUAUUUUCUCUUUUGUUUGUUUGUUUGUACUUGAAAGUUUUUUAAGAAAGCAGCACGUAUUUCCAGUGCUGACUAAAAUAUUUAUUUGAGAGUAAAGAGUGAUGGCUCUUCAGGAGAUCAGUGAGAUCUUUACACACAGACCCUCGGCCUUCUCUGCUGCUGUGCUGCUUCUGAC